UAAGGCGCAGUAGCGAAAAGCCGGGACAGGAAAUCCGGGGCGCGGCGGGGGCUGCCGCCCCGCGAUGGUGGCGGCCGCUCGCCGGCGGGAGCGGGGCGCAGGCAUGCGUUCAUCUCCGUGUCUUUCAUUUUACCUUCAGGGUGACAUUCAGUGCCGGGCGAGCCUCGCCGGUCACCGCCACGUCCCACCUGGAAAAAACACAAACAAAACCACCGGGAAAAAAACCAAAACAACAAAACAAAACAACAACAACAAAAAAAGGCGACUGCCGAAAAGGGGGGAUGGGGAGGGAGGGGGUGCCGGCCCCCCACGGCUGGGAUGCGGGCGGCGGACGGGACACCUCGCCCAGGGGACGCGGGGACACACGCGCCGCCGGCCGCCAGCAGGCCAUGUGCCGAGCGGCCGGCGGGGGCGGGGGAGCGGGCACCGCACACACACACACAGAACAAAAUCAGAAAAAAAAAAAAAAAUAAAAGACAAAAAAGAAAAGCACACGGAAUGCCAGAGGAGGCCGGGCGAGGAGCUAGGAUGCCGCACCGCUGCUGCCGUGCAGGCCCGGUGCCGCGCCCCCCCCAGUCCCCUGCAAGGCUCUGCAGGGGAAGGCGGGGGAGCCCCCGGCGCUGUGCGCCCCACGGCCCCGCCGGGAGCCGGGGUGCCCGGGGGGGGCUGCGGGCCGGACAGCCCGGGCCGCACCGGGGCACCCGGCUGCGCAAUGGCGUCGCCGCCGAGGAGAGCCAAGGGCUGGCGCAGACCCUGGCACGGCUCGGUGAGGGGAGCCUGAGCCAUCGCUCCCCACCUCUGCUGCUGGGGCAGCCGAGCAGCUGCUCCCGAAAGCAGAAGGGUUUGCGGUAAAGCAGAGCGAGCCGGGGCCUGCGGCAGCCCCGGGGCCGCUGUGACCGCCGAGCAGGCUGGCAGCGCUGUGCCCGGCCAUGGCAGCAACCACACGCAUCCGCUGCCCUGGGUUCGUGUGCUUCGCCAAGCCAGAUCCUGCAAAUCUCCAUGAAUGUUCCCACUAAAUUCCGAGGACAUUUUCACGUGUGAGGCUUAACUCGCCUGCAAAAGUAUUCCCAGAACUAGGCCUCACUUAAACUGUCUAUGACAGCCUGAGUUUAAGUGCCUCUUCAUCUAAAAGCCAGUUGUUACCCACACAUUGCAUCCCAAACUGCUGCAGCACCACACCACCUACUCGUGACCGCAGAGCGUCCCAGCAGAGCCCUGAGACAAGUUUCUCUCUUCUGUGUUGCUUUUCACACCACCUAUUAUAAUAACAACAAGUUACAACAUCGCCAAUGCACAGGUAACUAGCGCAGCGGAGUUCGUGAAGGGAUGCAUGUAGCAGGGCUGAAGCUAAAUUAUUUUUGCAACUGCCUCUGUUCAGCCUUAAUAUUAGCAUUAAUACUUUCAUUUUCCUUAUUUAAAUACAAUAAAAGAGAAAAUUGCCUUUGCUUAAUAUUGUUACUAAUCAGGUUUUGCAAUUCCAGUUUUUAUAAGGUGAUAAAGUCAAGAAGUUAGUGUACAUCUUUUCUGUUGCUGGGCUCAGUGCCCUCAGCAGCAGCGUAUUUUAAGUGGUGGGAUCACCUAUUGCAGCUGGGAAAAGAGUUGUGGGAAGAAAGAAAUCAUUCUUGGACUAUUGUACAGUCCAAGCAUCAUUUUAAGAAGUAUGAAAUUGAAAGCACUGGGUUGUUUUGUUUUGUUUUUUCUUUUUUAAACCCAAGCUACUCAGGAUACUAUCUGGCUUGGCUAGAAAGACAAGUUUGUUACAUGUUUCUGUUCUGGAAUCAUUUUGAAUGGCUUUUACGCUAGAUUCUUAACCUUUCUUAACUCUACUGUCUCAGCAGAGUACAGAGUACAUAACUGAUACGUAUUUUUGGUAGACUUGAAAAGCAGUGUGUACAGCUUGAUUGUUGUCUGUAUUUCGCCAUUCAUUUUUAAGUGAGGCUCUUUUGAUUGAUGUGAGGAAUUUGUUUGAAAGGAUGAAGGGUAUGGCAUAGCUGCCCAACAUGCUACUUACAAUUACACCAUACCUCAGCUAAACAGGCAUUUUUCAUUGUGAUUGUUACACCUUUUAAAGCAAAUGAGUUAAUCAAAUUGCUAUUUUUGGAAUGCACUCAAAGGAACAUUAAAAUGCAUUAAUUUCAUUAAAAUAAAUGAGCAGAUAGGUAACAAAACAAGUAUCAGCCAAAUAAGCAAGAUCUCAACUAUCGAGCUAAAUCCAGCCCUAGUGAAAUCAUCUGAGCUGUACUUGUCUACAGCACAUUUAAUUUGGCUUCUGCAGUCACACAGCUGACGCUUUAUUUGGUUUUCAGAGGUGUGUAUAUUAAAAAUGUGCGAGCUGUGCUGCUUCUCCAGAGUGAUUAACCACUGAAGUUAAAUUCACCUGGUUCCCAUUUAGCUCUGCUGUGCAGUCCUAUCACACUUGCAGUUUUUGGUGUGUGUACACACCUGAGAUGCAGAGAGGCAUUCCCAGCCCCUGUGCUGGUCUAAGGGACGUGAGUUGAGUCUGAAGUGAGGGUGUGAUGAGGUGGAUUUCUGCAGAGGCUGUUCACAACCAGCUGCAUAUAUAUAUAUAUGCUCCAGUUAAUAGGCUGUACUGGAGUCUCUGCUACCAUCUUUCAUUACUGCUGUUACUCAUGCCAGUGAGAGUAAAGGAAGGGUUGGUGUGUCUGUAAUCACACAUUAAUUUGCUAUGUAGAUAUAUCCUAAGAACCUCUCAACCCAGGAAAAUUAUGCUGGAAUAAGGUUGGAUGUGAGUGUAAAGCAGAACUGUGUACAGAUAGUUUAUUCAUUCUGGAAUGGCCAAGUUGUUUCCUGGUUUCACUUAAUCCACUUUCAAAGUAGAUUAAUGUAAUUCAAGAAACUGAAUUCUUACACUGGCAUAAGAGUUGUCUACACAUGGGUUUACUCAAACAUAAUUACUGCAGUGUACCUAAUAAGUAUCUUGAAAUAAUUUAGUGUGUAGACGAGUCUAGAGUCCCACAGGUGAAAAAAUCCAGAAUUUAGCCAUUUUCUACAACAUAAAGGUUAAUUUAGCCCAACAUUUGACCUACUUCUUUCCUCAUGAAACACAUUUAAUUCAUUGUAGGUUUUUCUUCCUUGACAAAAACCCCACAACAGAAAUGUAUUUAUGAUCAGUUUCAAGAUAGCAAUGCCAUGUGCACUCCACUAAAAAUAAACAAUUUAACCAGUGUAUACUCCAAAUAAUAUUUUCAACUGCUCUAAAGAGAUGAAAAGGUUCUUUACUGGAAGAAAUACCAACUUCUCAGUCAUAAAUAUUUUGAGUGGGUUAUUCCAAACAAAAGGAAAACAAACCCCAAGCUCCGCUCUGCCCUCUGAGACACCCACAAUCCAUUUGACAGCAUUCCAUUCAUAGCAAUAGCACCCAGUCUGACUCAGCAAUAUUAGUUCCUGAAUGAGGAACCUCUCAGACUCACACAGAAGGGUUUGCAGAACAACAGGGCCUUCAGGAGGCUCCUUAAGAAUAGAGAGCUAAUUUAUGGUUUGCUUACAGAGGUCUGAAUCAGAGAAAACCUACCUGAAACCCAGGCAGCCUCUCUGCCACUGCUCUGAAUCAGGUGUAUUGCAUCACUGGCAUACAGGAAAGUGACUGAACCAAUAAUGAGGACAUACAAGGUAUUUUUGUGACCUUGUGCCAAGUGCAAAGUUUGUCAAACGGCAUUAAGUGUCAUUCCAUGUCACAGACAUCCAUGGAAGAGAGGUGAUUCUCUGAUGUGAAUGAAGCCUCCUAAACUUUAAAUUUAACUUUUAAUUUAAAUAUAAUGUUUGUUAGUUUGCUUUUGUUGAAGGAAGGGGAGGGGGGGUGGAGCCAAACAAAAACUAGAUGAGGUAGGAAUUAUGUAAGCUUGGGUAGUAAACCAGACAAUUUUUUGAAAGAAGCAUAAAUACAAAAGCCAAAUGAUACAAAUUGCUGACCCUUUAAACAUUGACAUGGAAAAAGCCAUUAAAAGCUAUGAAGAUGAAAAAAGUCCAACUUCUACUUUGUGUCAAAGACUGCAAUGUGUCACACAUUACAGAGAGUAACCCGGGGUCUUCCCUUACGCAGAUUAAGUAGUCCCAGCUACUCUGUGUAACAGGCAGUGAUGCCCACAGGAUUCUCAUUUUGUGAUUACAAGCAUGGCUUUUCCCUCCCGUGCUUGUCUUGGUUAAGGAUAUAGGGAAUGGAUUUCACCUAAAACUCCCUCAUGCUAAACCUGCUUAUUUAAGUAAGAAUAAUUCUGGUAACAAGAUAAGCAUUGGCUGAAGAAGGUAAAUGUGGAGAAACGUAAACAAGAAAUCAAGUAUUUAAAUUCUGUGGUGCUGUAUGACUUUGACCAUGAGUCUUGAUAUUAGGGCUCAAAUACUAAGCCUGGUAUUAAACUCAGAUUGAAGGCAAUGAGAGUUUUAUAUGAGCAUGCCUGAUGUGAAAUCCUACUUGAAUAAAAAAAAUGGAUAGGAUUACUGUACACUCUGCUUCCGCUGAGAGGUCUCUGAGCGUUGGAUCCACCUGCAGUGCUGGGGUAUCCUGGCUCUCCCCCACUCCUGUCAUUACAGGGGCAUUACUCAUCCAGAGAGGAAGGUGUCUUUAAAUCCCCAAGACGAUUGGCACAGCAAACGCAAGAGGAAAUCUCAGCGCACGGCCAAUGCCAGGCAAUGAAGGAUCCUCUGUGGGAGUUGCAGGCCUCAGCAGAUGGCCAGGAGGCCGAUGGGAAGGAGAGAACACCAGUUUUAAUCCAGUUGUUUGUGAUGGAAAACUAUGAGAGGAGUGAAAAGACCUUAUUCCGCAGACCAAGGCAUUUACUUUAUUUAACUGCCUAACCUCAGUCAGAACACUAAAUUCCAUUACUCUAGAUGAAUGUUAUGGUAUGCUGAAGUCUUAUUUGAUAAUUACCUGGUCAGAGCCACAGACUAGAAACGAGAUACGCAGCCAGUGAAAGCCCAGUGGAGUCAUACCAGUUUAUACUAGCUGAGAAUCCAGUCUUCAAUUUUGAAUAAAAAAUUUGAGAAGUUGCA